AGCUCCCUUCAGUGCACUUGGAGACGGCACGUCCAACAGCUGGGGAAGCACAGUGGAGAGCCAUGCAUGUCCGUGCCGGAGGUUCCUGCACUCCCACUUCUGUGCUUCAACACAUAAUCAGAAAUACAGGAAGCCAUCCCAGGCAAAUGAAGGUGCUACUUGUAAAAUAAAGGCACCUUGCUAGAGUGAUGGCUACGAGUGCUUCUAGACCUCAACUGUCUCCAAUAAACACAGAGUUUUGGCAGGUGAGCCACACAUCAACCUGCUGGAGUGCCAGCAUCCUGGAUACCUGCAAACCAGACACCCACUGUGACAACUGACAACUGGAGGUUCUUCUGAUGCAGAUUCGUGUGUGUUUACAGAGUAUGUACUAAUACAAAUAACGUUACAUCCGCAUUCACACGUGAAUUAAAAUAGCUGCUAGAUAUCUCUC